CUUGCUACCUGACCUAGCGGCGGACGGGUGAGUAAUGCUUAGGAAUCUGCCUAUUAGUGGGGGACAACAUUCCGAAAGGAAUGCUAAUACCGCAUACGCCCUACGGGGGAAAGCAGGGGAUCUUCGGACCUUGCGCUAAUAGAUGAGCCUAAGUCAGAUUAGCUAGUUGGUGGGGUAAAGGCCUACCAAGGCGACGAUCUGUAGCGGGUCUGAGAGGAUGAUCCGCCACACUGGGACUGAGACACGGCCCAGACUCCUACGGGAGGCAGCAGUGGGGAAUAUUGGACAAUGGGCGCAAGCCUGAUCCAGCCAUGCCGCGUGUGUGAAGAAGGCCUUUUGGUUGUAAAGCACUUUAAGCGAGGAGGAGGCUACUGGNAUUAAUACUNNNGGAUAGUGGACGUUACUCGCAGAAUAAGCACCGGCUAACUCUGUGCCAGCAGCCGCGGUAAUACAGAGGGUGCGAGCGUUAAUCGGAUUUACUGGGCGUAAAGCGUGCGUAGGCGGCUUUUUAAGUCGGAUGUGAAAUCCCUGAGCUUAACUU
rnacentral:rRNA from 1 species